GAUGAAGAACGUAGCGAAAUGCGAUACGUAAUGUGAAUUGCAAAUUCAGUGAAUCAUCGAGUCUUUGAACGCACAUUGCGCCCCCUGGUAUUCCGGGGGGCAUGCCUGUCCGAGCGUCAUUGCUGCCCUCAAGCACGGCUUGUGUGUUGGGCCCCGUCCUCCGAUCCCGGGGGACGGGCCCGAAAGGCAGCGGCGGCACCGCGUCCGGUCCUCGAGCGUAUGGGGCUUUGUCACCCGCUCUGUAGGCCCGGCCGGUGCUUGCCGAUCAACCCAAAUUUUUAUCCAGGUUGACCUCGGAUCAGGUAGGGAUACCCGCUGAACUUAAGCAUAUCAAUAAGCGGAGGA
rnacentral:misc_RNA from 1 species